rnacentral:rRNA from 1 species
GUGCCAGCAGCCGCGGUAAUACGUAGGGUGCAAGCGUUGUCCGGAAUUAUUGGGCGUAAAGAGCUCGUAGGCGGUCUGUUGCGUCGGCUGUGAAAACCCGGGGCUCAACUCCGGGCCUGCAGCCGAUACGGGCAGACUAGAGUUCGGCAGGGGAGACUGGAAUUCCUGGUGUAGCGGUGAAAUGCGCAGAUAUCAGGAGGAACACCGGUGGCGAAGGCGGGUCUCUGGGCCGAUACUGACGCUGAGGAGCGAAAGCGUGGGGAGCGAACAGGAUUAGAUACCCUGGUAGUCC